rnacentral:rRNA from 1 species
AGCGGAGGAAAAGAAACUAACUAGGAUUGCCCCAGUAGCGGCGAGUGAACAGGCAAAAGCUCAUGUUGAAAAUCCAUAGCACAAAGUUGUGGAAUUGUAAUCUAGAGAGGAUUUUCGGAGGGGAUGGUUGUAGCAUAAGUUCCUUGGAACAGGACGUCAUAGAGGGUGAAAACCCCGUGUUCGGCUACUACCGGAUCUAACGAAGGUUUUCGAAGAGUCGGGUUGUUUGGGAUUGCAGCCCUAAAUGGGAGAUAAACUUCUUCUAAAGCUAAAUAUUUAUGGGAAACCGAUAGCGAACAAGUACUGCGAAGGAAAGGUGAAAAGAACUUUGAAAAGAGGGUUAAAAGACUUGAAAUCGUUGAGAAGGAAGUGGUUAAAGAGUAAUCAUUUGUGUACAAUAAAUGUUUUGCUUCCCUGGCUUUAGCGCGUUUUAGUACUUCAUAGGCUGUGCGUGUUAAACGUUAGGUAGCUAGGCUGUCUUUGUAUGCAAGAGGCAACAUGAAGUUUAGUAAUGGGAAUAAACCAGCAGAACGACCCGCAAGGAGUCUGUUGAUGAAACCGUAAUUAAGCUUGAGGGGCCUGAGGGCGAUGUUGUCAAAAUGGCUUUAACUGUCCCGUCUUGAAACACGGUCCAUGGAGUGUAACCUACGCGCAAGUGUUAGGGUGGAAAAACCCGAACGCAUAAGGAAACUAAGGAAAUGUUGUUUACAGCAACAGCGGACCUAGCGUCUUUGACAAAGGGCUCCAGCAAGAGCGAGUAUGUUACGACCCGAAAGAUGAUGAACUUUACUUGAGUAGGGUGAAGCCAGGGGAAACUCUGGUGGAAGCUCGCAAGAUCUUCUGACGUGCAAAUCGAUUUCCAAACUUGAGUAAAGGGGCGAAAGACUAAUCGAAUCAUCUAGUAGCUGGUUCCCUCUGAAGUUUCUCUCAGGAUAGCUGGAACAAACCAAGCAGUUUUAUUAGGUAAAGCGAAUGAUUAGAGGAAUCGGAGCUCAAAGAGUUUUGACCUAUUCUCAAACUUUAAAUUGGUAAGAACCGGGGGUUAACUUAAUUGAACCUCUGGGCAGAAUGCUUGUUCCAAGUGGGCCAUUUUUGGUAAGCAGAACUGGCGAUGAGGGAUGAACCUAACGCUUAGAUAAGGUUCCUAAGUAUGCAUUCAUGAGAUCCCACAAAAGGUGUUGGUUCAUUAACACAGCAGGACAGUGGCCCUG